UACAGAGGGCUCGAGCGUUGUUCGGAUUCAUUGGGCGUAAAGGGUGCGUAGGUGGCGCCGUAAGUCGGGUGUGAAAUUUCGGAGCUUAACUCCGAAACUGCAUUCGAUACUGCGGUGCUUGAGGACUGGAGAGGAGACUGGAAUUCAUGGUGUAGCAGUGAAAUGCGUAGAGAUCAUGAGGAAGACCAGUGGCGAAGGCGGGUCUCUGGACAGUUCCUGACGCUGAGGCACGAAGGCCAGGGGAGCAAACGGG
rnacentral:rRNA from 1 species